UACGAAGGGAGCUAGCGUUGUUCGGAAUCACUGGGCGUAAAGCGCACGUAGGCGGAUUUGUCAGUCAGGGGUGAAAUCCCGGGGCUCAACCCCGGAACUGCCUUUGAUACUGGUAGUCUCGAGUCCGGAAGAGGUGAGUGGAAUUCCGAGUGUAGAGGUGAAAUUCGUAGAUAUUCGGAGGAACACCAGUGGCGAAGGCGGCUCACUGGUCCGGUACUGACGCUGAGGUGCGAAAGCGUGGGGAGCAAACAGG
rnacentral:rRNA from 1 species